CCGCUGCAAGGCAGCAAUCUGCUUGUCCUUGGCCAGCAGUGCACUGGCUGUCUCACUGAGGUCCCGGGCUCGCUGGCGGGCUAGGGCCUUCCGACACAACUCCAAGCUGGUCCCCGGCCGGGGCAAGGGGGCACUCACCUAGCCAGAGGAGGGGAUCAAAGGAUGCUGCUAAUUUGGGGCUGCCACUGUGAUGGGUCUCAUCCCUGCCCCCACUCCAGCUCUAUACCCUGAGAUGAGCUCAGCAGAAGGCUGCCGCCAGCACCAGCACGUGGUUGGCUGAGCUCUUCCCCACCCACAAAGGAGGCUGCAGAAGGCGCCAGGGCUGCUGGAGCUGGAGCCAGGGCCUCCUGCCCCCAACAGGAUUCCUCACAUCCCAGGACCAGCUGGAAAAGGUGGUGAGAGUUGGAAAGAGACUGCUCAGUGAGGACUGCCCUGCGAACCAGCUUGGAUUCAUCCCGUUCACCUCCACGUUCUGCACUCGGGGCCGAGGGAAGGGAGGCAGCCCAGGCAGCUAGAGAACUUGAUGAAACACACUCAAUCUGAAUCUCGCUUGAUCGUCAUGCUGACCCAGUGAGGGUCAGGCAUCCUUUCCGACUACUCACUCAGCAGCGGAUCCCCACCCGCCUCUGACUCCCAGUGUCUUUCGGCUCCAACGUAAGUUCACCGAAC
ensembl:lncRNA TSPOAP1-AS1 TSPOAP1, SUPT4H1 and RNF43 antisense RNA 1